AACAGGGAAGUUCCAGCAGCUGGAGGACACGUCUCCUGAUCUGGAAAUCAGUCUUGGUUAUUGGUGCCAAGAAAACCAGUGCUCUGAAGGAGACUGAGGAAAAUCAAAGUGUGGAGAGGAACAAUGACAGACCCCACAGGAGGGUGCUGGUUUGGUGCUUAACCACACGGCGAAGGAACGAGAGCCCCAAAUUCCCCCUGGUGCUUUGGGAGCCAGGUUCUGUCAAAUAAUAGCAGCAAUCCCGCCAUAACACAGCAGCCUGAAAUCUCAGCUCUCCCCCUCCCCUCGCGCUAACGAGAGAGAGGAGACCCAGGCAGCCAGUUUCUCUAGGACAGAAGACAAAGGACAGAGGCUUGUGGGAAGAUGAGAUCGGAUGCUUGGCUGGAAAGAGGGGGCAUCUGGACUGGGGAGAGAAAACAGCCAGAGCCCACAUGGAUGCAGG